UUAUGUCUUCACUCUUUAGUAUACCCAUUAAAAUCUUCGUGAUUUGAAUUUCAAUUGAUAUGUGUUAGUUGGAUAUAUUAAUCUCAUUUUUGAGUUUUAAUCUAAUUUCAGACCAUAGAUGCACCCCGGAUAUAUUAAUCUCAUUAUAUUUGAUUUGAAUGUUUCUUUAGACACGCCCUUUGAAGCCGUUUCAAUUAUUUAUUUAUUUAUUUAUUUCUACUAAGAAUUAGAAAAUGAGUAAUAGAGAUGUUUUUGUCAUACAUAUAUACACACUUUUUCAUUGACAUUUGCGUAUCUGCUACUUUCUUGGGUUCUGGCUAUUUUAUGCGACUGGGCAGAGUUGGGUUCUGGAAAUGCUGUUUGACAGAUAGAAAGAACUGAUACUACUACACAUUUUAAUAUCAUGACUUCAAGAUCGUUUAGAGGUUCUGAAUCACUGCAAGGACAGUCAAUUCCUAUGUCAGUGAAAUUUACAAGGAGGACUUCAUCAGGCCGAUACGUUGACUACUCCAGAGAGUCGAAUGAUCUCGAUAGUGAUAUUGGCAGCUGUGAAGAAAUUGAAAUUUGCAAGGAGGACUUCAUCAGGCCGAUUCAUUGACUAAACUUUCUCCAACUUAUUUCCUUUGCCUAACUUGGUGUCAAGAAAUUGAAAGUUGCAGGAUAAAAUCUGUGAGGGGGCUUUUGCAUUCAUCACGGAGUAGUUUGGUCUACUAUAGCCUUUGAUUCUGUGAUCUAGAGUAAUCCAUUGUUGUACAUUUUGAGUUUGAAUUCCUUAUUUUUCUUUUCUUGAUUCUCUGAGGUGAUCUAGAUUAAUAUAUUCUGAUUUUUUAAUAUAAUGUUUGAUUUUUCAUCUUGAAGACUCAAAUUUGGCCUCU